rnacentral:rRNA from 1 species
GUCUCUCUUGAGUGGAUCCUGAGUACGACGGAGCACGUGAAAUUCCGUCGGAAUCUGGGAGGACCAUCUCCUAAGGCUAAAUACUCUCUAGUGACCGAUAGUGAACCAGUACCGUGAGGGAAAGGUGAAAAGCACCCCGGAAGGGGAGUGAAAUAGAACCUGAAACCGUGUGCUUACAAGUAGUCAGAGCCCGUUAAUGGGUGAUGGCGUGCCUUUUGUAGAAUGAACCGGCGAGUUACGAUUUGAUGCAAGGUUAAGCAGUAAAUGUGGAGCCGUAGCGAAAGCGAGUCUGAAUAGGGCGUUUAGUAUUUGGUCGUAGACCCGAAACCAGGUGAUCUACCCUUGGUCAGGUUGAAGUUCAGGUAACACUGAAUGGAGGACCGAACCGACUUACGUUGAAAAGUGAGCGGAUGAACUGAGGGUAGCGGAGAAAUUCCAAUCGAACCUGGAGAUAGCUGGUUCUCUCCGAAAUAGCUUUAGGGCUAGCCUCAAGUGAUGAUUAUUGGAGGUAGAGCACUGUUUGGACGAGGGGCCCCUCUCGGGUUACCGAAUUCAGACAAACUCCGAAUGCCAAUUAAUUUAACUUGGGAGUCAGAACAUGGGUGAUAAGGUCCGUGUUCGAAAGGGAAACAGCCCAGACCACCAGCUAAGGUCCCAAAAUAUAUGUUAAGUGGAAAAGGAUGUGGCGUUGCCCAGACAACUAGGAUGUUGGCUUAGAAGCAGCCAUCAUUUAAAGAGUGCGUAAUAGCUCACUAGUCGAGUGACACUGCGCCGAAAAUGUACCGGGGCUAAACAUAUUACCGAAGCUGUGGAUUGUCCUUUGGACAAUGGUAGGAGAGCGUUCUAAGGGCGUUGAAGCAUGAUCGUAAGGACAUGUGGAGCGCUUAGAAGUGAGAAUGCCGGUGUGAGUAGCGAAAGACGGGUGAGAAUCCCGUCCACCGAUUGACUAAGGUUUCCAGAGGAAGGCUCGUCCGCUCUGGGUUAGUCGGGUCCUAAGCUGAGGCCGACAGGCGUAGGCGAUGGAUAACAGGUUGAUAUUCCUGUACCACCUAUAAUCGUUUUAAUCGAUGGGGGGACGCAGUAGGAUAGGCGAAGCGUGCGAUUGGAUUGCACGUCUAAGCAGUAAGGCUGAGUAUUAGGCAAAUCCGGUACUCGUUAAGGCUGAGCUGUGAUGGGGAGAAGACAUUGUGUCUUCGAGUCGUUGAUUUCACACUGCCGAGAAAAGCCUCUAGAUAGAAAAUAGGUGCCCGUACCGCAAACCGACACAGGUAGUCAAGAUGAGAAUUCUAAGGUGAGCGAGCGAACUCUCGUUAAGGAACUCGGCAAAAUAACCCCGUAACUUCGGGAGAAGGGGUGCUCUUUAGGGUUAAC